AGCGAACGCUGGCGGCAGGCCUAACACAUGCAAGUCGAACGAACUCUUCGGAGUUAGUGGCGGACGGGUGAGUAACACGUGGGAACGUGCCCUUUGGUUCGGAAUAACUCAGGGAAGCUUGUGCUAAUACCGCAUGUGCUCUUCGGGGGUAAGAUUUAUCGCUAUUUGAUCGGCCCGCGUCUGAUUAGCUAGUUGGUGAGGUAACGGCUCACCAAGGCGACGAUCAGUAGCUGGUCUGAGAGGAUGACCAGCCACACUGGGACUGAGACACGGCCCAGACUCCUACGGGAGGCAGCAGUGGGGAAUCUUGCGCAAUGGGCGAAAGCCUGACGCAGCCAUGCCGGGUGAAUGAGGAAGGUCUUAGGAUUGUAAAAUUCUUUCACCGGGGACGAUAAUGACGGUACCCGGAGAAGAAGCCCCGGCUAACUUCGUG
rnacentral:rRNA from 1 species